GGAAGAAGACAGGUGACCGACAGCAUGCGCAGCGUCGUGCGGCAGGUGCGACGUGGGGAUCGUUGUGGUUCAGACUGAGGCUGUUUCUUAGUACCGGAUAAUGAAUGCGGGGAAGUCACUAACGCCGGCAAACGGUGUCAUGUGAGCAUUUCCCAGCUGUGAGCGGGGCCUUCAUGGAUUCCCCCUACAAUGGCAACACGUCCCUCCAGACCUCCACGUCCAACCUCAACGCCAACUUCUCUCGGCCGUCCGAGGCCGAAGAAGAGGGCAAGUACUCCAGUGACGCCAUCUGGCUUUGGGUAGCCGUGAUUGCGACUAUCGGCAACAUAGUGGUGGUAGCAGUGGUUUGUGCCUGUGCCUUCUAAGACCCACCGCUUACAAGCACACAGCCGAACCUCCCGGGCACCUCCUUUUCUCCCUAUUCAAUCUACCCGUGUUUAACUGUCUGGAGUCCACCUAUGAUUUUACAGCUGAAGCUCUGUGUUGAGGGUUAAUGGUGUAGGAUAGUGAGACCACAGCCCUUGGCUGAUCUGUAGUGUGAAGAACAGGUUCUGCUGAGACUAGACAUGAGAAAGCCAACCCUUGUGUUUACCAGUGUUCUUUUUUUAAAGUGAGAAACAUAACUGUGUGUGGAUGUGUCUUGUCCUUUUCGUAAUAAAUCAGGCCAGCGAGUUCAGCCAGCAGACAUCAUGUUACACAGAUGAGUGAGUCCUCUUCAUGCUUUCCAACUGAAGGGACCACCGAGAGGUCGUCUUGAGAGGUCUUUGAUCCCUUCUGCUAUAACCUGAGCUUUGAGACCACCACGACAGACCUUUGUCUGGUCGAUGUGGUGUCCCCGUUUGUCUGAAACAGAUGUGUCGAUGCCGCCCUGGACCAAGACUCUAUUGGAAAAUCUAUUUAUACCUCAAUGAGACUAACCUUGUAGGAUACAUAACACCUAUAGUAGUCAGCUGCUCCCACCGUGGCUGGCCACCCUCUCCAGGAACAGUGGAGUGAGGUGUGACAGAUGGUGGGGGGGGGGGUUAUGGGGCCUGGGGGGUUGGGGUAGACUUGGCACUGUCUCCACCACCCAGGGUAAUGGAACCACUGCACCCCUGCUUCUCCGUUAUGGCCCUGUCCUCCCCUCAGCUGUCCUCCCCUGUCCUACCCUCCCCUCACCUCCCUUCCGCUGACCUCUCCUUACCUGUCCUCCCCUCACCUACCCUGAUCUCCCCUCACCUCCCUUCCGCUGACCUCUCCUUACCUGUCCUCCCCUCACCUACCCUGAUCUCCCCUCACCCGUCCUCCCCUCACCUACCCUGAUCUCCCCUCACCCGUCCUCCCCUCACCUACCCUGACCUCCCCUCACCCGUCCUCUGUGCCCGGCUGGGUGUGCAGUGAUAACGGGUCUGUACCAGGCUGGGUGUGCAGUGAUAACGGGUCUGUACCAGGCUGGGUGUGCAGUGAUAACGGGUCUGUACCAGGCUGGGUGUGCAGCGAUAACGGGUCUGUACCAGGCUGGGUGUGCAGCGAUAACGGGUCUGUACCAGGCUGGGUGUGCAGUGAUAACGGGUCUGUGCCAGGCUGGGUGUGCAGCGAUAACGGGUCUGUGCCCGGCUGGGUGUGCAGCGAUAACGGGUCUGUACCAGGCUGGGUGUGCAGCGAUAACGGGUCUGUACCAGGCUGGGUGUGCAGCGAUAACGGGUCUGUACCAGGCUGGGUGUGCAGCGAUAACGGGUCUGUACCAGGCUGGGUGUGCAGCGAUAACGGGUCUGUACCAGGCUGGGUGUGCAGUGAUAACGGGUCUGUGCCAGGCUGGGUGUGCAGCGAUAACGGGUCUGUGCCCGGCUGGGUGUGCAGCGAUAACGGGUCUGUACCAGGCUGGGUGUGCAGCGAUAACGGGUCUGUGACCAAUGUUGUGGAGCGAGAGAGUGAUACACAAACACAUCCUCACCCACGACAUUAUGUGAAAUGACAUGACCACCAACUGGAUCCCACUUAAACACUCAGCCGCUAGCCACUGCAGGACAUUCCCAAAUGACCCAACCACCGCAGUGCGAGCAGUCAGACAGUUUCUCUUCGUAAUAAACCCUGCCACUGUCUACAUUUGGUUUUUAGUCGUUGCGCCCGGCGGGCAGAAUCUCCACCUCGGUGUGUCCCAGGCUCCUGGGUCCAUGCACACAGUGGAGGGGGCUGGUUGGGUUGCAGCAGCUCUGUGCUGUUUCAUAUGAGCCCAGUGGAGUGGGACCACGGUCCUGUCAAACGGCAGGGCCGUAAUGAGACGUAAUGUCUCCCUCUUUCCUGCAGCGGACAUCGACCUCUGUGCGGCUCUGCCGUGAUCACAGCCCAUCUGAUCACCUCGGCCACUCUGAACAAAGAUAGUGCUUGAGACGCAUUUUUUCACUGGGUCUCAUUUAAUCACCACUCGUGGAAGCUGAGUGGUAAGGAGGAAAUGAGAUGAGAGUAGUGAGUGCGUUUACAUUAGAAUUGAACAGCCAGCUUUUAUGUCAUCUCCUCGCAUUACGGAACAUUUUCUGCAAGUGAAUAGAAAACUUUUUUUUUUUCCUCAUUGAAGCCAGUGAAGGGGAAUUAAAUCUUUUAAUAUGGAUAGAAUUAGGAUCAGAGGUCUGGCUGAGGCGUCCGUUAACACAGCUAAUUGCCCUGAUCUCACAGUACACUGGAGUUCAUCAGAACCAGAGGGAGAUGUAUUCAGCGUGACAUGUCUCAGCAGACUUUUUCUGGGCCUUUAGAGAGGUAGGUCACCUACCAGUGGGAACACUAAAGAGUUGUCUACUACAAUAAACUCCUACAAUAAGCGCUUGUGGCGUAUAACGCGGUAUGUGGUUCUUCAUAACUAUCGACAGACAAUCAUUAUCGACUAACAAAUUCGUAUUAUACGUCACCCCUCGAGAGUUCCUUCAAAACAGAGACUGUUGUGAGCCAACACUGGUAUGGACUAGGUGAGUAACCCCAGUCAGGUAAAACCGCUGCAAACAGAGUCUGUCAUGGGGUCGGCUGUGUGCUUGGACGUGGGACUGGUUAAGGCUCCGGUGCCCACUGUCUACGGCUCUAACUAUGUGCCUGAACGGACUUACCCGACUCCUACCCUCCAACGGCCUGUUCACCGCGGACACUCCUCAGAGCACCGCGGACACCGGACAUCCGACACUACGUUGUCACGGCUGCACGCCACGGAAUUCACCGUCCUUCCUCAGCCUCCCGGGGUGUAUACGGGGAGUUCCUGUCCCCUAAGUUCAACAAAGGUCAACAAAGACAGUUAAUGCGACCCUGGUCUGUGACACAUAAUGGCGCCCGUUAUUAUCUCCAUACAAGGUCUGGCAGGAACAUUGAGGAAUACGGAGACCUGGUGGGGAGGCACAGAACUAGCGUCCUAUUAUUCCAAAAUCAACUCUGAGGUUAACUGUUGUGGACUUUGUGAUGUAAGUGCUGUGACCCAUGACAUGAAACUGACAAAACCUUAAACUUCACCUUGAAAAGAACGUCAUUCCAAUGACUGAGUGGACAUUUCUUGACACCACUGACUCUGUAUCCUUGGGCUCUUCUCUUCUGUGCAUCCUGUAGCGUCCAGUAGGGAUGUUGUCAGUUCUGAAACAUCCCUGUAGGGGUCAGGAUUACCACUAUGUAGUUAGUACAUGACCAAAAAGGCUAUUAGCUAAAUACAGUCACCCCGUUAGUGAAAUGUGCUCACCACGUUCAGUCGCAUAAGCGUUGUGUUACAAGUACCUAAUAUACUGCUGCACAGUCACCCAAAUAAUGCAUUUGGAUUUCUUUUCAAAACCUUUGUUCUCAACGUGCACACUGUUUCAUGAUCCAUGCCAGACCUGUAGCCUGUGAAGUGUAGCACACUGAGAUGUAUGAAAUGUGUGUCCAUGUUUGCAUAACUCAUGAGCUGGCUUUUGUGUGACACUAAAGGAAACCUGGGGGUUGCUUAGUAGUAGUGGAAAGGGUACUUUAGCAUCCUAAUGUCCUUUAUAGUGUAACAAAUACAAAAUGAUCAUUUCCUGAUACUGAUAUUUUAAGUGUCAACAUUGUUGUCGGGAAGUUGCAGGUCAUGUACAAAAAAAAAUUAAAACAUCCAACUGGACAUGAAAAAACGGAAAUGAGGUCACAUAGGCUGUUAUGUCUUGAAUAACUUGAUUCUCAUAAGCUGUUUACUAAUUGGUCUUUUGAGACAGCACUUAAAGAGAACUCAUUUGAACUAAUGGAGAAUGCACAUUGUGUCAGGAUUGGGUAUAUGUGGUGUAAGAUCAGAUUCCAUUUCAUUGAUAUUUUGUGCAGUUUGUACAGUAAGGAAAAUGUGACGCUCUGUCAGAUGUGGAAAUAAUUGGAAAUAUAUUUAUUUGGGCUUGUUUAAUUAUGUAUUUUCAGGUCAGGGAUUAAAUUACAUUCUUUUUUUAUUUUCUUGACUUUCCCUAAAUGUACAAUUAAAAUACCUCUUGUUUUUUCUUUAGAUUUAAAUAAUACGGUCGGUACAGGCUACCUUGAUUGCUACUAUUUUGACAAAUCACAUCAGAAGACCAAUUCAUAAAAAUAAACACAGAUUUGUCUGCCUGUGUAUACAAAGCCUGUGUGUUGAAGUAAUGAGGGUUUUUUUCCACAAUGUUGACCAUGAGAUCUCAGGUCUGUUCUCAUGCUAGAUUAACCAAAACAAACUCACUCACUAACUUUCUCUCCCUCACUCUCUCCCCUUUUCUUAGUCUAGCUCACACACUUACGCACACAUACACAAAACAUAUUCCAUAUGGUCCUGACAGGACAAUACAUGUUGAUCUAGAUGCUACACAGAUAAACACAUUUUAAGGUUUCUUUUUUCGCAUGAUUACAGACUAACACACAGUAAGUGGAAUAACAAGAUUAAGUCAUUAUUAGAAGAUGGUUUGCAUUACAGGAGCCACGAUUCAAUGCCUGGUCCUUCUAAGAGUAAUUGAUGUGCGCACUGUGCUCAGUAUGUGCAUGGUAAAUGCAUUAGGAGUGUGUUGCAACUCAUUUAACAAUGAUCAUCAUCCGAGGUUUUCAACUUCUACUGUGGUAUUUUGUUUUAGCAUAAAACAAAUAAAGUUUAAUUAGCUCGUUUGCAUGUUGUUUUACAUCUGUCCCUUGAAUUUGUAAGGGACAAAGUGUGUAAAAUUGAUGAUUUUAUCUCAUGGAAUAUUGAUUGGAUAUUGAAUUACUUUGUAUGUAGAACUAAUGCUCACUUUUUUUGUAAACGUUAUAUCAAUCAUAUUGAUAAAGAAAUGUAUCAUCUAUAAUAUUAUAUUGUAAGUAUGUUCAUCAUUUAACCUCAUGAUAUGCUAUCCUGUAUAAUUCAAUAAACUUGCUUCCUAAUAUAAA